rnacentral:rRNA from 1 species
GAUCCUGGCUUAGGAUGAACGCUGGCGGCGUGCCUAACACAUGCAAGUCGAGCGGGGAAGCCGGAACAUGUAGAGAUAUAUGAGAAAGCAUCCUAGCGGCGGACGGGUGAGUAACACGUGAGGAACCUGCCUUACACAGGGGGAAUAACACCGUGAAAACGGUGCUAAUACCGCAUAACACCGCACUAUGGCAUCAUAGAGCGGUCAAAGGAGAAAUCCGGUGUAAGAUGGCCUCGCGCCCGAUUAGUUAGUUGGUGGGGUAAUGGCCUACCAAGACUGCGAUCGGUAGCCGGACUGAGAGGUCGAACGGCCACAUUGGAACUGAGAGACGGUCCAGACUCCUACGGGAGGCAGCAGUGGGGAAUAUUGGGCAAUGGGGGGAAACCCCGACCCAGCAACGCCGCGUGAAGGAAGAAGGCCUUCGGGUUGUAAACUUCUUUGAUCAGGGAAGAAACAAAUGACGGUACCUGAAAAACAAGCCACGGCUAACUACGUGCCAGCAGCCGC